UUCCUACCAGGCCCCCUCCAAGGGUCUAUAUCACUUUCCUUGUUUCACCAAAGUUGCCUAUUUUUCCCAGCUGAGCAAAAGUCUAUCAUACCCUAAUCAGAACUCAGAAAAUUCCUGAAAGGAGAGCCAGACUGAUCUAGGAAACUACACACAGAGAUACCCGCAGGACUGGGAAGAAAGAGAGGUCUCACAUAAGACCUUGCACCCCCAGCCUUCUAGCUUCGUAGAUUCUCGAGGACUCGCCACAGACUCUCUAGGAAGAGUGGGGUGAGCCGUGGCCUGUCUGGGUACCUCUCCAAACUUCCUGUUCCAGGUACAGAGAGAAGACUCAAAAGGAAGGGAGGUGAAUGCCCACUCCCCCACCUCCAAGUCCAAGAACAUAACACCUACACGUACACAGGUACUCCCGUGACAUACACUUUGACACGGCGGUGCAGAUGCAGUGUUCUCUACAUUGGGGCCAAGGCGCCUCUGUCCAGGGCCCUGACAGUUUCAUCCCUGCCAGAUCUGCGCUCCCUAGAGCGGGCGGCGUAUACCCCACGCAACCCCAGCUCCGCGCGGGUUCCACGGGCUGCAGAGGCGCUGGACUGGGAUGCUGCCCCUCCC
rnacentral:lncRNA from 1 species